rnacentral:rRNA from 1 species
UACGUAGGGGGCAAGCGUUGUCCGGAAUCAUUGGGCGUAAAGCGCGUGUAGGCGGCCCGAUAAGUCCGCUGUGAAAGUCCAGGGCUCAACCCUGGGAUGCCGGUGGAUACUGCCGGACUAGAGUUCGGAAGAGGCGAGUGGAAUUCCCGGUGUAGCGGUGAAAUGCGCAGAUAUCGGGAGGAACACCAAUGGCGAAGGCAGCUCGCUGGGACGUUACUGACGCUGAGACGCGAAAGCGUGGGGAGCAAACAGG